UACGUAGGCAGCAAGCGUUGUUCGGAGUUACUAGGCGUAAAGGGUGCGUAGGCGGUUGUUUAAGUUUGGUGUGAAAUCUCCCGGCUCAACUGGGAGGGUGCGCCGAAUACUGAAUGACUAGAGUGCGGGAGAGGAGAGUGGAAUUCCUGGUGUAGCGGUGAAAUGCGUAGAUAUCAGGAGGAACACCGGUGGUGUAGACGGCUCUCUGGACCGUAACUGACGCUGAGGCACGAAAGCGUGGGUAGCAAACAGG
rnacentral:rRNA from 1 species